rnacentral:rRNA from 2 species
GGAUCAGGUAGGAAUACCCGCUGAACUUAAGCAUAUCAAUAAGCGGAGGAA